rnacentral:piRNA from 1 species
GGGGCUGGAGAGAUGGCUCAGAGAUUAA